rnacentral:rRNA from 1 species
CUCCAGACUCCUACGGGAGGCAGCAGUGGGGAAUAUUGCACAAUGGGGGAAACCCUGAUGCAGCGACGCCGCGUGAGUGAAGAAGUAUUUCGGUAUGUAAAGCUCUAUCAGCAGGGAAGAAGUUGACGGUACCUGAGUAAGAAGCCCCGGCUAACUACGUGCCAGCAGCCGCGGUAAUACGUAGGGGGCAAGCGUUAUCCGGAUUUACUGAGUGUAAAGGGAGCGUAGACGGCAGUGCAAGUCUGAAGUGAAAGCCCCGGGCUUAACCCGGGAACUGCUUUGGAAACUGUACGGCUGGAGUGCUGGAGAGGUAAGCGGAAUUCCUAGUGUAGCGGUGAAAUGCGUAGAUAUUAGGAGGAACACCAGUGGCGAAGGCGGCUUACUGGACAGUAACUGACGUUGAGGCUCGAAAGCGUGGGGAGCAAACAGGAUUAGAUACCCGCGUACAA